rnacentral:rRNA from 1 species
AUUGAACGCUAGCGGCAUGCUUAACACAUGCAAGUCGAACGGUAGCAGACCUAGCUUGCUAGGUGCUGACGAGUGGCGGACGGGUGAGUAACGCGUAGGAAUUUACCUUGUAGAGGGGGAUAACUUGGGGAAACUCAAGCUAAUACCGCAUAAGCCCGCGAGGGGAAAGUUUGGGACCGAAAGGCCAGACGCUAUGAGAUGAGCCUGCGUCAGAUUAGCUAGUUGGUAGGGUAAAGGCCAACCAAGGCGAAGAUCUGUAGCUGGUCUGAGAGGACGACCAGCCACACUGGGACUGAGACACGGCCCAGAGAACUACGGGAGGCAGCAGUGGGGAAUAAUGGACAAUGGGCGAAAGCCUGAUCCAGCAAUGCAGCGUGUGUGAAGAAGGCCUGCGGGUUGUAAAGCACUUUCGGUGAGGAGGAAGUUGUUGUGGUGAAUAGCCAUGAUGAUUGACGUUACUCACAGAAGAAGCACCGGCUAACUCUGUGCCAGCCGCCGCAGUAA